UAUGUGUUGGUAGAGUAUGAUGAGAUGGUAGUUGUGUCAGUAGUGUAGGAUUGGUGUUAGGUGUGUUGGUGGAGUAUGAUGAGAUGGUAGUUGUGUCAGUAGUGUAGGAUUAGUGUUAGGCGUGUUGGUGGAGUAUGAUAAGAUGGUAGUUGUGUCAGUAGUGUAGGAUUGGUGUUAGGUGUGUUGGUGGAGUAUGAUGAGAUGGUAGUUGUGUCAGUAGUGUUUGAUUGGUGUUAUGUGUGUUGGUGGAGUAUGAUGAGAUGGUAGUUGUGUCAGUAGUGUUUGAUUGGUGUUAGGUGUGUUGGUGGAGUAUGAUGAGAUGGUUGUUAUGUCAGUAGUGUAGGAUUGGUGUUAGGUGUGUUGGUGGAGUAUGAUAAGAUGGUAGUUGUGUCAGUAGUGUAGGAUUAGUGUUAGGUGUGUUGGUGGAGUAUGAUAAGAUGGUAGCUGUGUCAGUAGUGUAGGAUUGGUGUUAGGUGUGUUGGUGGAGUAUGAUGAGAUGGUAGUUGUGUCAGUAGUGUAGGAUUGGUGUCAGGUGUGUUGAUGGAGUAUGAUAAGAUGGUAGUUGUGUCAGUAGUGUAGGAUUGGUGUUAGGUGUGUUGGUGGAGUAUGAUAAGAUGGUAGUUGUGUCAGUAGUGUAUGAUUGGUUUAGGGUGUGUUGAUGGAGUAUGAUAAGAUGGUAGUUGUGUCAGUAGUGUAGGAUUGGUGUUAGGUGUGUUGAUGGAGUAUGAUAAGACGGUAGUUGUGUCAGUAGUGUAGGAUUGGUGUAGGGUGUGUUGGUGGAGUAUAAUAAUAUGGUAGUUGUGUCAGUAGUGUAUGAUUGGUUUAGGGUGUGUUGGUGGAGUAUGAUAAGAUGGAAGUUGUGUCAGUA